GGUGGUAUGAUAGUCAAUGUAAGUAUGUUUGACUUCCUGCAUAUAAAAUUCAAAUACUAACAUCACAAUUCACAUAGGAAAGGAGCAUAUUUUCACCAUAACUUUUAAAAAUUUGUGUCAAUUUGGAAUACAAUUAAAGUGAACAAUUGUGAAAUUUGAAUGAAAAUAACCAACAUUCCUGACCUAACCUUACCUACUUUCCUAAAAAGUUUGUAAUACCCUUAAUACCAACCUAAAACCCCCAUGCCAGAUGUCUACAACAUACAAACCUUCCAACCAGCCUACUACAGUACCUAACACCUCACAACCUAUUCCAUUCUGAACCUAUUGAUUGGGAUUUUUGUAUACUUUUAUACUCAUUGCAUCCUAGCUUGCUAUUAUAGCAAACAUGCAGGUAUUUAAAGAAAUGUUUUGUUUUUCCUUCUUAGCUGUUGAAAUUUCUUGAAUGCCAACACAACACAACACACCAUGCGCACAUGACAGAGGUCUCCGUCACUGCGGAGGGAAGAUCGCAAUGCUGCUUGCAGGCUGUUGACAGAAAGUGAUCAGUAAGUUAUGACCCUAUGCAUAAUGCUACAAUUAUUUCUUUUGUAUACAGGGAGUUGGUCAGAGAUUGAACAUGUCUCAGCAUCAUAUAUUUGAAUGCUGAUAAUUAUGUAUACGAGCAUUGACCAAUCAAUUGAAACUAGAAAAGUAGAUAAGUGCUUAACAAAAUGGAUUGGUGAAGAUUAGAUUGCCUAUAUAAAGCAUGCAAUGUUGACUUCAUAACAUACUGUAUAAAAAUGUAGUCUGUUCCAUAUUAUGUUUGCGCCUAUGGUCAAAGCUGCUUCUUCAAUUUGCUUCUUCGUUCAAUCUAGGGAUGUAGCCAAGGGAGUGGCCACGGCUGUCAUGGUCUACCCCAAAGGCGAGAAAUUAAAUAAAACAAAAUAAAGAUAAAUAAAAACAGCUGUACCAUACCCCCAAAAAUAGUGGGCCAAAUCCGAGUUUUCCUUUUUGGAGGGGGUACAACGCUAGGCCGCGACCUGUGGCCCCUCCCUCAGUAAAAUCUUGGCUAUGGCUCAAUAAUUUGAGUCUAUGCUUUAUGUCUAUGACUAUGCUAUACAGGAGCUAUGCAAUCCUGUUUUCUUUCUAGGUUCAUGCUGUUCUGAGGUGAAACAUUUUCCUGGCAUGGUGGCACUUUGUCAGUGUGGGGUGAGGUAGGCAUCCACUGUGAUGUGGCUGACCCUGUCGGCUCCCACUCCCCCUCUGACCCGGCCAUGCGUCCCGCCAGGUUGUCGUGUUCCGCCAGCUGCUGCGCCGGCGUUGGCAGCGCACAGCCGCUACCAGCUGACACGCCGACCGGUGCGCGUGCGCCGGGCGCCGACGGCCGUCGUCUGGCAGCAACAGCGCUGCCAGUGACUCGCGCUGCUGCUGCAGAAACUGGACAAGGAUCGUAGAAUCCUGGCGUGUUUUUGUAACGUCCAUUAGAGUGAUUUAGACGCAGCGUGUAGAAAGGACUCGUUUAUUGACGUGUGACUUUCUGACAGCUCAGUCACCUGUUGACGGCGGCGCACAGCGUCACCUACCCGCCCUACAGCCGGCCCAGCAGGGUGAGUAGUGAGUACCAAUACCCGCCCUGCAGCCGGCCCCAGCAGGCGGACGGAGAGGCCCGCCCGGGCCCAGUGCCGCACGGAGAGGCGGCGGCGCUGGAGGCCAACACCCCGGCUCGCGGCCUGUAGCUGACGGUGCUGGAGCCGCGAGUCACCGUGGUGGCUGGCCAUGGAGACUUGGAAAAGGCCGGUGAGGUGCGUCUCCAGCUGCGCUGUCAGACGAUCCAGUGGAACGAGCAGCAGCCCAUGUACCCGUCCCGGCUGUGCCGGUGUGUCUCCCAGCUUGAGCGGCGCCGGCCGACCGCUGCGCUGCUCUACAACUGCCACGUCCACACACGAUGCACGGUGACGGCUGACCAGGCGGUGCUGGUCUCGGCCGCGACCGCUCUGGCUGUCCCUGGCCACUCAGCUGGCCAGCAGCUGAGUGGCCCGGCGCCGCCGCCACUGCCCCAGCCGCCGCCGCCGCCGCCGCCAGCGGAGGACCGGGCGGCGGCGUCCUACCUGCAGUGUCACCCAACACCCCCGCUGCGGCGGCCGUCUCCCCAGUGUUCUAAAAUUGGAUUUUGGUUGGGUGUGACGAUGAUGACCAAAAAAUCUAGGAUGAGAAAAAAACAAGUGAAAACCUAUAUCACUUUCGCAAUAAAGGCGUAACGCUACGCUGGCUGAUAAUAAAAGAACAUACCAUUCCUGACCACCAAAACUAACCGAAAAAGACGAUGCAAAUAGGUAAGGAUGAUCUACGGCAGAAUUAUAGCUUUAACAUCUGAUCGCCAAGUGUUUCUAAAUCCGUCCCAUUUUAUCCCAACAUUUGUGUUUGAUUGAGACUAAUGAAUUUAAGAAUCACCCUUGUCUCUUAUACAGCAAAGAAUGAAUACCUACUUCAACCAGUGAGAUUUCAUUUUCCUCACAAGUCAAAAUGCAUUGUCACAAUUGAAUGACAGUCCAGUGGCCAUCCUUCUCCUAGCCUUAAAUCAAUGCCUUCCUUUCCGUUUGAGAUGCAGACAGCAGAUAUUACCGUCAGCAUCUGCUAAGUUCCUACUCAUGCUUACUGGCACGGAUCCAGGACGGUCCUUCUGCCUGUAUAUUUCUCCUAAAGAAGAUCAUCCGCGGACCUCCAUCCUCGCGACGCCAGUCGCCAUCAUGCGAGCGAACUAGGUCUUUAAGAAGCAGAAGAUGCAAUGAUUCUGUUGAAAUCUGUUGUCAUAUCUUAACCCUAUUAGUGGCAGGCUCCUGGCUACCCCUAUUAGUGGCAGGGGGGGGCUGUUUACAACCCCCCCUUGAUAUCUCGAGAUCUAACGGGCCGAUUUUCAAAAUUCAAACGGCAUUCGACUUCGCUCAACGUGAUCUACAUUUCUAAAAAAAAAUUAAGAAAAUGUCAAAAGGGGGGUUGAGGGGGGGUAAAAACGGGCAAAUUGCAGAUACAUUUUAGACUGCUUAUCACGGCCAGGUUUCUGAACCAAUCUUAACGCAACUUUUGCCGAUCGAUAAAGAAUGAACCAGGAAUUCACAUGGAUCCUAAAAAUAUGCAUUUUCAAAAAUCAUAGGCGGAUACAGAUCAUUGAGAUUGGGGGUACACAAAAAGUAUAGCAAAUAAGGUUUUUGUUGGUACUGUUUCUAAAAAGGGUGGUAAUGGUCUUGUUAUGUUACAAUUUUCUUAUGAGAGAACGACUACAAUUGUAUUGGUCAUGCAUAGGCGGUGUCAGGGCACCUAUGUUGGGAGGUAAAACAUAACCCCCCUUUUUGGACGCCUGGAUCCGCCUAUUAUAGCAAAAACGUGUCAAAAGAGGAUGCACAAUAACUUUGUAUAUGUUAUCACAUGAUAAAACUGGUGCAUACAGUUAUAAUACAUCAGCAUCGUGAUCAUCGCCCAAAUGACUCGCUUCACGAAUAGGACCCCCCAAUUCCCAGUGCUCUGGAGCCGCCCUUGGUAAAGUUAUGAACUUGAAAUUUUCAGGGAAUGUGCCCAAUUUAGUUUUAGGAAAAGUCAGAAAAUUUCAGCAUCGUAGCUUCAGCGGUUUCGGAGAUAUUCCCGAAAAACCUGAGGGGUGGAUGAAAACAACCCCCCCCUGCCACUAAUAGGGUUAAGGAGGGUGGGGGAGGGGCGGGUGAGGGAGCUCUCCCUAUAUGCAGGCUUUGGUUCUAGUCACUGGUCAAGGUAGGUAUCUGGUCUGGUGUAGUGUAAUUUGCCAUGUGGAUAAGUUUUCUUUCUUUUUUAAGCAAAGGAAGUGGCAAGGAACCUGUCGUUGCCGUUGCAAAGGGUAUCAUUCGGUCGUCCUGUAUUAUUGAUUUAGUGCAGUUGACUCAGACUGUGUAAUGCGUGAGGCGUGGUCAUCACUGUGACACUGUCAGACAUAAAAUCUUAGGUAAUCAUGAUACCCUGAUGGGCAGUUUGUUGUCGUAACUGAUCGCUAUGAAACCAGAAACCGUAUAACUCAUGUGUUCUGUCCUCUGGGACGUUUUGCGCCUACAAUAUGGCAGCACUGCUUCCAAGAUUACUGUAUAUUUGAGAUAAUAUGCGGCAAUAUAAGUACGUAGUUUUCG